UGUGAUCCUUAUGGGAAGAUAUGUCUUGCCGUAGACUCAGAGAUGAAGCUGUAACCAUCUGUUUAGGUGCCAGGCAAAGGACCACAAACUGCUUGGCUCAAAACAACAGAAAUGCAUCCUCUUGCAGUUCUUGAGCUAGAAUUUUAAAGUCAAGGUGUCACGUUCUCCUGAAACUCCAAGCAAAAUGCCUCCUUGCCUCUUGCAGGCUUCUGGUGGUGGCCAGCAAUCUGCAUUUUUUGGCCUGCAAUUUCUUGGACUCCAGCCCCUGCCUUCAUUGUCACGGGCAUUCUUUCCUCAAGUGUCCACGUAUGUGUGUAUUUUCUCUUCUUCUGUUAACACAUCAGUCAGAUUGGAUUAAAGGCCUGCUCUACUCCACUAUGACCUCAUCUUAACUAAGUAUUAUCUUCAACAGCUCUGUUUCCAAAUAAAGUUGCACUUGAGGAUAUCGGGGGUCAGGACUUCAGCAAUUCUUUUUGGGCAACACAGUUUGACUCAAAGACUAGAAUCAACUUGGUGGAGGUUCUGACUGCUUCUUAAAAUGAUUCAAGAAAAGAAAUCAAAAGUUACAAUGAACAGGAAGUGGCAGCCCCCUGUGCUUUAAUGAUCACAGAGAUUGAUUCCUGUUGGAAUCCAGCUACACAAAGCAUGUGUCGAGACCCCGUGGAAGAGAAUUGAGCAGUCUACUAGACAGCUGGAGUUGAACUCUUUCCAAACUGACAGUCAGAAAUCUAACCUACUUGAACACAGGAGUUGUUCACAGCCAUCACAGUGCUGUUGUCCAUGCAACCCAACAUGGCACAGGUGCAGCUUGAAUUACAGCCUGAUUUAUGGUGAAGGAAUCCUUCUCUACGAACUAUCCACUGUGCCAGAAAUGGAGACGGUGAAGUUUCAGCUCUGGAACUUCCACCACAACCUCUCAGCUCAGGACGGUUGAAAAAGCCUGAAGAAAACACGUUCAGACUGGCUUCUACCUUCCGUACUCAGCGGCAGUUCAAGGCACUGGGGAAUUUAAUCUGUUGGGACACUGCUCUGAUUUUACAAUGUGAGGACUUUGGUCAAGGAUAAAGGAUUCCAGGUUUGGAAUCUCCUUGCGUAGCUCUUUCCAAAAGCCUUCCCUGUAGUGAUCUUGGACAUAUGUCAUACACUCACCUAAUCAUGCUUAGAAACCAGUACAACUAUUUACUAUUAUCUCCCAUCGUAGUUGGAGUCUCCUGGAAGCUUCCUAUUACAGGCUUGCCUCUUGGACUUGGCCUUUUAUUUCCCCUGACCAUGUUGUUUCUCAUCUAUUUUUCCCUUUCAUAAAUGUCUUCACUCAGGUCCUCAUCAUUUUCCUUUAUUAUUCUGUGCUAGUCAUUUUUUUUCUCUCAUUUGGAACAUCUUUAGGGAAAGACAGUAUGAAUCAGUAGAACAGUCUGAAAAAGCCACUUUAGACAUGUCCAGGAGCCUUCUGUAGCCAUGGGCCCCUUAAAUUUCAAUUUACAUACCUAUCCCCGGUAAUUGUGUUAAAAAAGAUGAUUCUCUCUGGGUGGGCCUGAGAUUUUGUGGGUACUAUUGACAUGGCUGGUCCAUAGACUACUCUGAGUAGCAAGUUUCUAGACUUGUAUUGUCAAAUAAGGCAGCUAUUACCUAUCAGAGCCUGUUGAGCCCUUGAAACAUACCUAAUGUAACUUGAGAUGGGCAGAGGUAUGGAUGCAGGAUAUACACACAGGUUUUAACAGACAAUACAAAGAAGAGUGGAAAGGUCUUUAUAUAUAAUUUUUAUCACUGAUUACUUGUUGAAAUGAUAAUAUUUAGGGUAUUUGUGUUAAAGUAUAUUGCCAAAAUUAAUCUUACUUCUUCUGUGCUUUCAAAACACGGGUUACUAGUAUGUUUUAAAUUCCACCUGUGGCUGCAUUUGUGGAUAAUAUUACAUUUUCAUUAAACAGCAUCAUUUUCAGUCCUGCUCUGCAUACAUACUAGGGAUCAUGGAUGCCAUGUCCAAGUUUCUAGGAGCUCAUUUUUGGGAGCUGCGUAGACACCUUCCCAGGUCUGUCCUCCCAAAGCUGAGUAAGGUGCUUUAGUGCAAAUCCUGAAGUCUAUUGGUAGCUAAAGUGGCUGUCAGUGGGGCAAGUUGUGAUUGAUAGGGCUUUGAUUCCCAGAUGUUCCGGAUUGCACAAGCCCUGGACAAAGAUGUAGGUGGGAGAAGUGAGGGCAGGGGCCAAACCUGGGGCUAGGGACAAGCUGUCCUGUAUUACCACCCUGAAGCACAGAAUUCUGAGGCAUCUGAAAUUUCUGAAUUCAAUCUUCACCCUCUGGAUAGAGAGAUAUAUUUGUCAAGGUAUAUGAACAGAGCAUAUUUUAUUUAAUAGUUUGUAGUUUGAUUUAUAACUCUGAUGGAUGAUAUGUAGGUCUCUAUUUGUACUUUUGCCCUGGGCAAGUAAUUACCAUCCAGGUUUAUAAGGGCUGUGAUCUGAUGUACAGGGUGCACAGUGGAAGCCUAGAAGAGGGCUUUGCCCUGCGUGGGACAGGUGAUUUUUGAAUAAUAAUGAGUCUAGAAUAAAAGAUCAUGAUUGAAGGACCACACUACAGUUAAAAUAAAUCAAACCCACUCCCUCUUCCCACAAUAGAAAGGCUGGAAUGAUACCCCAGCAUCUACCUGCUGGGCUAGGGACCUGGGAAGCAGUGCAACAAAACAGAUUUACUUCCUGGCACACCUCAUUUUUGUAAGCAUGGAGCACACUUUGUCACACUCUCCAUAUUACAGAAGGCUAACUAAACACUGCAGGGUGCCAGGGUUGAAUCAGGCUUUUCACCAACCCUAGUUCCUUAAAACCCCAAUGGCACCACACUGGCUGGUGGUAAAUAAAUGGACUUUAGCACAA